rnacentral:rRNA from 1 species
CCCAAAGGGGGAAUGCCUUAGUACGGCGAGUGAAGCGGCAAAAGCUCAAAUUUGAAAUCUGGCACCUUCGGUGUCCGAGUUGUAAUUUGAAGAAGGUAACUUUGGAGUUGGCUCUUGUCUAUGUUCCUUGGAACAGGACGUCACAGAGGGUGAGAAUCCCGUGCGAUGAGAUGCCCAAUUCUAUGUAAAGUGCUUUCGAAGAGUCGAGUUGUUUGGGAAUGCAGCUCUAAGUGGGUGGUAAAUUCCAUCUAAAGCUAAAUAUUGGCGAGAGACCGAUAGCGAACAAGUACAGUGAUGGAAAGAUGAAAAGAACUUUGAAAAGAGAGUGAAAAAGUACGUGAAAUUGUUGAAAGGGAAGGGCUUGAGAUCAGACUUGGUAUUUUGCGAUCCUUUCCUUCUUGGUUGGGUUCCUCGCAGCUUACUGGGCCAGCAUCGGUUUGGAUGGUAGGAUAAUGACUAAGGAAUGUGGCUCUACUUCGGUGGAGUGUUAUAGCCUUGGUUGAUACUGCCUGUCUAGACCGAGGACUGCGUCUUUUGACUAGGAUGUUGGCAUAAUGAUCUUAAGCCACCCGUCUUAAAACCCGGGAACAAAACCAAUGGGGAAGGGGGGCCAGGGGGGCAGGGAGGGGGAAGGUGAGAGGUUUGGAGUUUUUGUUGGGGGGGGGUU